UCAAGUAUGGCGUUCACACGGUCCUCGU
rnacentral:sRNA from 1 species